rnacentral:rRNA from 1 species
CAAGUCGAACGCAGUAGCAAUACUGAGUGGCAGACGGGUGAGUAACAUGUGGGAAUCUGCCUUGUGGUUCAGGACAACAUUGGGAAACCGAUGCUAAUACUGGAUAAGCCCUUACGGGGAAAGUUUUAAUGCCAUAAGAUGAGCCCGCAUUUGAUUAGUUAGUUGGUGAGGUAAUGGCUCACCAAGACAAUGAUCAAUAGCUGAUCUGAGAGGAUGAUCAGCCACACUGGGACUGAGACACGGCCCAGACUCCUACGGGAGGCAGCAGUGGGGAAUCUUGCACAAUGGAGGAAACUCUGAUGCAGCGAUGCCGCGUGAGUGAAGAAGGCCUUUGGGUUGUAAAGCUCUUUUGUAGGGGAAGAUAAUGACUGUACCCUAAGAAUAAGGUCCGGCUAACUUCGUGCCAGCAGCCGCGGUAAUACGAAGGGACCUAGCGUAGUUCGGAAUUACUGGGCGUAAAGCGCGCGUAGGCCGUUGAGUUAGCUAAUUGUGAAAUCCCAAAGCUUAACUUUGGAACUGCAAUUAAAACUGCUCGACUAGAGUUUGAUAGAGGAAAGCGGAAUACAUAGUGUAGAGGUGAAAUUCGUAGAUAUUAUGUAGAACACCAGUUGCGAAGGCGGCUUUCUGGAUCAACACUGACGCUGAGGCGCGAAAGUAUGGGUAGCAAAGAGGAUUAGAUACCCUCGUAGUCCAUACCAUAAACGAUGAUUGCUAGAUGUUGGAAAUUUAUUUUCAGUAUCGCAGCUAACGCAUUAAGCAAUCCGCCUGGGGAGUACGACCGCAAGGUUAAAACUCAAAUGAAUUGACGG